rnacentral:rRNA from 1 species
CUACGGGAGGCUCCAGUGGGGAAUAUUGCACAAUGGAGGAAACUCUGAUGCAGCAACGCCGCGUGGAGGAUGACACUUUUCGGAGCGUAAACUCCUUUUAUAUAGGAAGAAGAUGACGGUACUAUAUGAAUAAGCGCCGGCUAACUCCGUGCCAGCAGCCGCGGUAAUACGGAGGGCGCAAGCGUUACUCGGAAUCACUGGGCGUAAAGAGCGUGUAGGCGGAUUAAAAAGUCAGAAGUGAAAUCCUAUAGCUUAACUAUAGAACUGCUUCUGAAACUCUUAAUCUAGAAUAUGGGAGAGGUAGAUGGAAUUUCUGGUGUAGGGGUAAAAUCCGUAUAGAUCAGAAGGAAUACCGAUUGCGAAGGCGAUCUACUAGAACAUUAUUGACGCUGAGACGCGAAAGCGUGGGGAGCAAACAGGAUUAGAUACCCUCGUAGUC